rfam:Cajanus cajan CcLG07_1023, whole genome shotgun sequence.
CUCACACAGUUUCUUGGCAUUCUGUCCACCUCCACUUCCACUUUAGCCACGUUCGUUCGCGGAGGUGGACAUACUGCCAACAGAGCUGUGUUCG